UAAAGCCAAAUGGUGUGUAGUUGUCAGGCAUUGGAUGCCUCAAGAGCCAAUGGGCCUUCUCAGAACCUGCCGCAACUUCUGAAACAGGCCAUUCAGCUAUACUAUAAAAGGUCCCUUAUUUCAUGCAUUUCUCAUUCCACUCGACAAUACUUCACUUGACCGUUUCUUCUUGACGAUCAACAGGGUGACCCAAUACACAGAAAAGAUGAGCCAACAGCAACAACAAUCAGGAAGCUGCUGCGGCGGCGGUGGCGGGUGUUGUGGUGGUAGUGGCGGUGGAUGCUGUGGCGGCCGGAGCCAUGGAGGCAGCGGUGGAUGCUGUGGCAGCCGCGUUGGAGGAUAUUCUCAACAAAGUCAGAGCAGUGGGGGAUGCUGUGGUGGCAGAAGCAGCGGUGGCGGAUGUUGUGGCGGUAGCAGCGGCGGUGGCGGAUGCUGUGGUAGCAGCGGUGGCGGAUGCUGCAGUGGACAACAGAAGGUCUACCCUCAGAAGCUGAAGUAGAUGCCUUCAAGGAGGAUUCAAAUGCCCAAUGAAGAUUGUCCCUUGUUGCAUAUCCCUUCACUUCUUGUAAGCCAAAGUUGGCUUGUAUCACAAUCCAGAUUUCCCCAAUGUGGAAAAUGGAACAUUCAGACUUUCUUGCUCUGAAAUUCCUGCAAAGUCAUUAAAAGCUUCUUGCACACUGACAAA